UGGGGAAUUUUGGACAAUGGGGGCAACCCUGAUCCAGCAAUGCCGCGUGUGUGAAGAAGGCCUUCGGGUUGUAAAGCACUUUUGUCCGGAAAGAAAACGUCGUGGUUAAUACCCGUGGCGGCUGACGGUACCGGAAGAAUAAGCACUGGCUAACUACGUGCCAGCAGCCGCGGUAAUACGUAGGGUGCAAGCGUUAAUCGGAAUUACUGGGCGUAAAGCGUGCGCAGGCGGUCCGCUAAGACAGAUGUGAAAUCCCCGGGCUUAACCUGGGAACUGCAUUUGUGACUGGCGGGCUAGAGUAUGGCAGAGGGGGGUAGAAUUCCACGUGUAGCAGUGAAAUGCGUAGAGAUGUGGAGGAAUACCGAUGGCGAAGGCAGCCCCCUGGGCCAAUACUGACGCUCAUGCACGAAAGCGUGGGGAGCAAACAGGAUUAGAUACCCUGGUAGUCCACGCCCUAAACGAUGUCAACUAGUUGUCGGGUCUUCAUUGACUUGGUAACGUAGCUAACGCGUGAAGUUGACCGCCUGGGGAGUACGGUCGCAAGAUUAAAACUUAAAUGAAUUGACGGGGGUCAUAGCUGUUUCCUG
rnacentral:rRNA from 1 species